rnacentral:lncRNA from 1 species
AGAGGAGCGGGAAGAAGAAAGGGCCAAAAGAUGACAGAAAAUGUGUGCUACAACAACAUGACCCCAGCAAGCAAGAUUAUUUCUGUGCACUGAUAGGAAAAGGAAGCAAGCCAUGAGUGCCUGUUGAAGCUGGAAAAGCAAGAUUGAUGUUGAGGCUUGAUUGAAGGAGUGCAAGGUCACUCACAGAAGAAGUCAUGGUGCAAGAGUACAUCUCAAUCCUGCCCUAGCCUGGAAACAGCAUGCUCUGCUGCAUUUGCAUGCCCAAGGCACUGCUUGUCCUAAGCCCCAUCCUAGAAACUCUCUAUAGCUUUAUUUCCCUUAAGAAGGUAGAAAAACAUCAACAACCUAUCCGUACUAGCUGAAUGGCCUCUAGGCCUAUUGGGCAAGUACACCCAGAUGAGCAUCACUCUUAAGUGGCUGCUUCAGGUCAAGGUCUUUUGUGUUGGGGCAGCUGCAAACUGGCCUCUUUGGCUAUCCCAAGACCCUCUAAGUCCAAGGAGCUUUCAAC